GACUCGAUCUGGCGGACGGGCUGCUGGACGUGCGUAUCGUGCACGGCGGGAGCUUCCCCAGUCUGCGGCUGCUGGCCGCGGCGGCGGCCGGGCCGC
rnacentral:tRNA from 1 species